UACCCGAAUAGUAACUCACAACAACUUAACAAACUAAACACACAACCAAGGAAAUCUGAGCUCUACCACAACUCCACAGUUCAUUUCAAAUACAAACAAUCGAUUCCAAUCCAAAGUUUCAGUACCAGCAACAGAUAAACCAACUCAAGCUACCCAAACUUCAAUUCAAGAUUUUGAAUUAUACCUUCACAACCCAACUCGGUUUUCCGGAAUUCCUAGCUGAAUUGGGCUAAUGAUGAACUGAGGAUUUUGACGCCAAUAACCCAGAAAGUCUCUUGAUUUCUGUCCACCAACGCAGCCAAGAUGAAAACCAAGCCCAGCAUGACCGGAAAAACUACCGGCGUCGAGGAACACGGCAAACUCAAAAUCAAACUCAGAAACGAAAUCGUUAACGCGGGGUCAAAAUCAAAAUCUAAUUAUACUGGGGUGUAGAGCUUGACGAGGAGAUGAAUUUUCAUACCACUUGCAGCUCCAACGGUGGCCGGAAAUUGCAGAACUCGCCGGAGAGACUCAGACCUUCUCACCGACGUUUCUCCCUCCCCGUCCGGUGCAUGGGCAGUCGAAGACCACAGGCAUGACGGCGACGACAAGAGGAAGAGGUCGGUGGUCUUGAGUCGUCGAUCGGUGGCCGGACGGCGUCCCUCCGGUCCGGUUUCUCUCUCGGGCCGUGCUGCUCCUCUGGUUAGAGCACCGAGCUCUAUCUCCCUCUCUCUCGAUC
rnacentral:lncRNA from 1 species